UUCCUGAGCUUCCAAACACGGCAUAACAUUUUCUCUCACUAGGUCGCAUUUCUAAAGUAGAGCUACCAGGGAAAAGGUGAAUAGGUGAAGGAGAUGGCCGGAGAAGAUGCAGGUCCAGCUGCCCCAAAGGUCGUUCGCCUGCUGUACUUCGUCGGCGCCGGAUUCAUAACCACUUUGGCUAUCAACAAGUGGAGAGAUCUUCAACGAAAGUCAAUUCAACAACAGCAAGAUCGAUUAUCGGAUGGGGUACACAAAGCUGUCGAAUAACAAAUUGUAACUUUGGAGUUUUAGGGUUUCAUUCUAGAGCAUUUUCUCACUUCACAUCAUAGUUCACUGCUGGCACAUUCUUGAUGCGAGUCAGAGCUUUAUUUGUACCAGACUAAAAUGGUUGAAAUUUUUUCAUUCCCUGUUGUUUGUUAUUUUGGACUUCAGAGUGGAGCUUUUUGUAUGAGUGGGGUUUGUCCCCUGAAUUUAGUUCAGUCAAUUGCAUCCAAAUCAAUGGUUAGUAGGUAGUACAUAUAGAAUUUGACACUGUUCUAGAUCUUCACUUUAAGAUGUCUUGAUAUUUGUUGAAAUUAAGUCCAUCUUAUAUUUUACAGAGGAUUUUGAUUUUCCUU